rnacentral:rRNA from 1 species
GAUGAACGCUGGCGGCGCCCCUAAUACAUGCAAGUCGAGCGAACAGACGAGGAGCUUGCUCCUCUGACGUUAGCGGCGGACGGGUGAGUAACACGUGGAUAACCUACCUAUAAGACUGGGAUAACUUCGGGAAACCGGAGCUAAUACCGGAUAAUAUAUUGAACCGCAUGGUUCAAUAGUGAAAGACGGUUUUGCUGUCACUUAUAGAUGGAUCCGCGCCGCAUUAGCUAGUUGGUAAGGUAACGGCUUACCAAGGCAACGAUGCGUAGCCGACCUGAGAGGGUGAUCGGCCACACUGGAACUGAGACACGGUCCAGACUCCUACGGGAGGCAGCAGUAGGGAAUCUUCCGCAAUGGGCGAAAGCCUGACGGAGCAACGCCGCGUGAGUGAUGAAGGUCUUCGGAUCGUAAAACUCUGUUAUUAGGGAAGAACAAAUGUGUAAGUAACUAUGCACGUCUUGACGGUACCUAAUCAGAAAGCCACGGCUAACUACGUG